AACCUUUGCUGUCUUGGAACAGAUCACCACUGCAAGAGGGGAAGUUGCUACUGUGAUGAAUUCUGCCAUGUGGUACCAGACUGCUACCCAGACCACAGUGUCCUCUGCAACCCUCCUUCUCAGAUGACCAAGAUGGUGCUGCAGAUGGUGCUGAGGAUGGAGAACCCACCAAGCCCCGCUAGGAGCCACCUAGACUGGAUGUAGAGCAUGAUUUGAAGAUUGUACCAGGAGAGCCGCAGUGUUCCAGAGCUACCGAGGGGCUGGGCCGGGAUUUGCUGUAUUUGAGAAGACCCCCCUGGACCCGAGAGGCUGUGGGCUUGGGGAGCAUGAGGAGGUUUCACAGCAGAAAGGACACCCCGGGGCUCCUGGAUCGGAAAAUGUGCCAGGGGAAAUCGGGCUCCAAGGGCACCACUCUGGGCUUCCAGCUGUGUAGGCUGGACCAAGAAGGCUCAGAGAAAUGAUCUCAGGCUUGAAGUGGGGAGAACAAACUGUAUUAUGAAGGCAGACGAACAGUUCCUGCAAAAGCCCCAGCACCCGCAGAGCAGACACUGCGAUGACAACGGACGACACAGAAGUGCCCGCUAUGACUCCAGCACCGGGCCACGCCGCUCUGGAAACUCAAACGCUGAGCGCUGAGACCUCUUC
rnacentral:lncRNA from 1 species